rnacentral:rRNA from 1 species
UACGGAGGGUGCAAGCGUUAAUCGGAAUUACUGGGCGUAAAGCGCACGCAGGCGGUCUGUCAAGUCGGAUGUGAAAUCCCCGGGCUCAACCUGGGAACUGCAUUCGAAACUGGCAGGCUAGAGUCUUGCAGAGGGGGGUAGAAUUCCAGGUGUAGCGGUGAAAUGCGUAGAGAUCUGGAGGAAUACCGGUGGCGAAGGCGGCCCCCUGGACAAAGACUGACGCUCAGGUGCGAAAGCGUGGGGAGCAAACA